rnacentral:rRNA from 1 species
AUGUUAGACGAUCCUCUUAUUUAUGUAGCUGCUUCACCUCCGUGUCCUAUUCGUUAUUAUACUCUAUUGGAUGAUAAUUUAUCGCAAUCGGUCUUCAGACUUGUAGAUCGAGGAAACCAAAGCGAGUCAAAACUUUAUAUUCCAUAUAACUACACAGCUAUUUCUUUUUUGUCAUUUGGCAUAAUCUUGUUGAAUGUGCAAGUUCCUUUGCAAUAUUGUGUAAAUGCACCAAGUGGUCGUAAUAAUCUUUAUCCCCAUUCAGUACACAAUGGAAAAUCAAAGAAGUGGUGUGAUGGCAGAUUGAAAAUUACCCAGAGCAUAGUACCAUUUCCUGAACAUGACUUGGUAUAA